rnacentral:lncRNA from 1 species
UAACGAUGCGUUUUACAGAAAAGGGGAUAAUGAACUGAAAGUGCAUAAUAAAUAGCAAAAAAAUACCAAAAAUAAGAAACAAAAAAAUAAAGAAUGAAAAAAAUAUUUGGGUGUUUAUUAAAACAUUAAGAAUAGAGAAUAAUUUGCAACAGAUAUAAGAAAAAAUACAGCAAAAAGUAAAUAAUAUUAAGAAUAAAGAUAUUAAAUUAUCUCCAAUACACACCCACAGCUCUCGAACAAUCAAUUAACUAAUAUUGUGGGAAAUGGAUUCUGAGACUGAAAGUUUUAUGUAACUAAGAUAUAUAUAAAUUACAAUUUUCAGUGAAAAUAUAUAUGUAAUGAUUGGUAACGUUUUACUUGUAUGUAUUGUUAGGAAUUAUAUAUUGUUUAUAUUGCAAUACAAAACUAUUGUGUUUGCUAAAUUUGUAUCAGAAGAAGAUUGUUUAUCAGUGUUAUAUGUAUUUUUUUUUAUUUACUUUUUUCUGUAUAUUUAUAAUCAAUAUUAAUAUCACCAGUGAAAAGUGACUUACGGGUACUUUUUACUGGCAAUGUCGGUUAUGAGAGUUAUCUGCCUUGGAUGCAUUCAUAUUUAUUUGUAUGUGAACAAUAAUAUUUAAAUUAUUUUUAUUAUUUAUAUUGCAGUGUAAUUUUUUAUAAUUUGCUAAAAUUCUUGUGACAGUUUUUACUUUUCUUUGCAAAC